rnacentral:lncRNA from 1 species
GCGUAUCUACCUAGCCUAUGGUAUCGUACCCUCCCAACUUCUUAUUACAGUGCUCUGCCCACAGGAAAUGCCAAUUGGCUGAUUGACUGGUUCAAGGAAGAAGCUUCAGGAAGAGGUGAAGAGAGACUCACCUGAGGGGAGUCCCAGCGAUUCUGUCAGAACUCAACAGAGAGACAGCUGUUCUAGCUGGGUGAGCAGAGCAAAGGAAGGAUUCCCACAAAGGAGAUCCCAGUUCAUAUGGCAGGACCAACCAGUGGGAGGAGUAAAAUAACAGGAACACCUGGACAAGGUAUAUGCUC